AUGACUGCAAUUUUAGAGAGACGCGAAAGUACAAGACUGUGGGGUCGCUUCUGCAACUGGAUAACUAGCACUGAAAAUCGUCUUUACAUCGGAUGGUUCGGUGUUUUGAUGAUCCCUACCUUAUUGACCGCAACUUCUGUAUUUAUUAUCGCCUUCAUCUCUGCCCCUCCAGUAGAUAUUGAUGGUAUUCGUGAGCCUGUUUCUGGUUCUUUACUUUAUGGAAACAAUAUUAUCUCUGGUGCUAUUAUCCCUACUUCUGCGGCGAUUGGAUUGCACUUUUACCCAAUUUGGGAAGCUGCAUCUGUUGAUGAGUGGUUAUACAAUGGUGGUCCUUAUGAGCUAAUUGUUCUACACUUCUUACUUGGUGUAGCUUGUUAUAUGGGUCGUGAGUGGGAACUUAGUUUCCGUCUGGGUAUGCGUCCUUGGAUUGCUGUUGCAUAUUCAGCUCCUGUUGCAGCUGCUACUACUGUUUUCUUGAUUUACCCUAUUGGUCAAGGAAGCUUUUCUGAUGGUAUGCCUUUAGGAAUCUCUGGUACUUUCAACUUUAUGAUUGUAUUCCAGGCAGAGCACAACAUCCUUAUGCAUCCAUUCCACAUGUUAGGUGUAGCUGGUGUAUUCGGCGGUUCCCUAUUCAGUGCUAUGCAUGGUUCCUUGGUAACCUCUAGUUUGAUCAGGGAAACUACUGAAAAUGAA
rnacentral:rRNA from 1 species